AGUUUGAUCUGGCUCAGGGUGAACGCUGGCGGCGUGCCUAACACAUGCAAGUCGAGCGGGUACCCGCAAGGGUACCAGCGGCGCACGGGUGAGUAACACGUGGGUAAUCUACCCCUCGGAGGGGGAUAACCGGGGGAAACCCCGGCUAAUACCCCAUACGAUCCGGCAACGAAGGUUGCUGGAUGAAAGGGGCGUUUGCUCCGCCGAGGGAUGAGCCCGCGGCCCAUCAGGUAGUUGGUGGGGUAAUGGCCCACCAAGCCUACGACGGGUAGCCGGCCUGAGAGGGUGGUCGGCCACAAGGGCACUGAGACACGGGCCCUACUCCUACGGGAGGCAGCAGUGGGGAAUCUUGGACAAUGGGCGAAAGCCUGAUCCAGCGACGCCGCGUGGGGGAUGAAGCCCUUCGGGGUGUAAACCC
rnacentral:rRNA from 1 species